GGCGGACGAGCCUCUGGCGGUCGGGUCUUUGAGGGGACGAGCCUCUGGCGCUCAGGUCUUUGGGCGGACGAGCCUCUGGCGGACGAGCCUCUGGCGGUCGGGUCUUUGGGGGGACGAGCCUCUGGCGGUCGGGUCUUUGAGGGGACGAGCCUCUGGCGGACGGGUCUUUGGGGGGACGAGCCUCUGGCGGACGGGUCUUUGGGGGGACGAGCCUCUGGCGGUCGGGUCUUUGGGGGGACGAGCCUCUGGCGGUCGGGUCUUUGAGGGAAGAGAGGGUCUGUGGUUGUUUCCUGCUCAGACUUGUUAAGUGGUUCUGUGUUUUUCCUGCAGGAUGUUGGACGACUUCACUCACGAGGUGGACAACACUCAGUCCAGAUUGGACAACGUCAUGAAGAAACUGGCCAAAGUGUCUCACAUGACCAGCGAUCGUCGUCAGUGGUGCGCUAUCGGCGUGUUGCUCGCCAUCCUCUUCGUUGUCAUCCUCCUCUUCUUCAUCCUCUGAUUGAAGCCUCUUCCUGUCAGCACAGAACUCGUCUUAAUGCUGUGUCUACACGUCUACUGGACUCUACUGACCCCUACAGACCUCUGCUGAGCUUAUCAGGACUAGACUGGACUGGAGAAAAAAAGAAAGAAAGUCAAAAAGCAAAAACCAGUCCAGUAGAGUCCUGAUCCUGAGCCAGCUGGACUGAAGACGUGUUGGAUGAUAAGACUCUGGAAGUAAAGCAUUCUAGGAUUUGAUGUUAUUAAACUCUGGGUGACGCCCACCUCCAUCAGAGAACCACUCCAUUUAUAGAAUUACACACCUGAGAAGUCGGAACAAUCAGCCGAUCGGGCUCCUGGAAAAACUGAACCCACGGACAGCAUCAGUAUUUAAGUUUAACAUGAAACAGCAGGUAAACUCCAGCUGGCAGCAGA